CAGCAGCCACGGUAAUACGAAGGGGGCUAGCGCUGCUCGGAAUCACUGGGCGUAAAGGGUGCGUAGGCGGGUCUUUAAGUCAGGGGUGAAAUCCUGGAGCUCAACUCCAGAACUGCCUUUGAUACUGAAGAUCUUGAGUUCGGGAGAGGUGAGUGGAACUGCGAGUGCAGAGGUGAAAUUCGUAGAUAUUCGCAAGAACACCAGUGGCGAAGGCGGCUCACUGGCCCGAUACUGACGCUGAGGCACGAGAGCGUGGGGAGCAAACAGGAUUAGAUACCCGUGUAGUCCCUGUCUCUUAUAC
rnacentral:rRNA from 1 species